UGAGGAAUUUUGCGCAAUGGGCGAAAGCCUGACGCAGCGACGCCGCGUGGGCGAUGAAGCUCUUUGGAGUGUAAAGCCCUGUCAGGUGGGACGAAACCGGCCGGAGGAAUACUCCUGGCCGCUGACGGUACCACCAGAGGAAGCCCCGGCUAACUCCGUGCCAGCAGCCGCGGUAAUACGGAGGGGGCAAGCGUUGUUCGGAAUCACUGGGUGUAAAGGGUGCGUAGGCGGUCCGUUAAGUCUGAUGUGAAAGCCCUGGGCUCAACUCAGGAAUGGCAUUGGAAACUGGCGGGCUAGAAUACCGGAGAGGGAAGCGGAAUUCCUGGUGUAGCGGUGAAAUGCGUAGAUACCAGGAGGAACACCGGUGGCGAAGGCGGCUUCCUGGACGAGUAUUGACGCUGAGGCACGAAAGCGUGGGGAGCAAACGGG
rnacentral:rRNA from 1 species